AUUGAAUGCUGGCGGCGUGCUUAACACAUGCAAGUCGAACGGUGAAGGAGAGCUUGCUCUCUGGAUCAGUGGCGAACGGGUGAGUAACACGUGGGUAACCUGCCCCUCACUUCGGAAUAACCAUCCGAAAGGAUGGCUAAUACCGGAUAUGGAAACCUGGAGGCAUCUCCGGGUUUGGAAAGUUUUUCGGUGAGGGAUGGACCCGCGGCCUAUCAGCUUGUUGGUGAGGUAAUGGCUCACCAAGGCGAAGACGGGUAGCCGGCCUGAGAGGGCGACCGGCCACACUGGGACUGAGAUACGGCCCAGACUCCUACGGGAGGCAGCAGUGGGGAAUAUUGCACAAUGGGCGAAAGCCUGAUGCAGCGACGCCGCGUGAGGGAUGAAGGCCUUCGGGUUGUAAACCUCUUUCAGUAGGGACGAAGCGCAAGUGACGGUACCUACAGAAGAAGCACCGGCUAACUACGUGCCAGCCGCCGCCGUAAAAC
rnacentral:rRNA from 1 species